AUUGAACGCUGGCGGCAGGCCUAACACAUGCAAGUCGAGCGGAUGAAGGGAGCUUGCUCGUGGAUUCAGCGGCGGACGGGUGAGUAAUGCCUAGGAAUCUGCCUGGUAGUGGGGGAUAACGUCCGGAAACGGGCGCUAAUACCGCAAACGUCCUGAGGGAGAAAGUGGGGGAUCUUCGGACCUUACGCUAUCAGAUGAGCCUAGGUCGGAUUAGCUAGUUGGUGGGGUAAAGGCCUACCAAGGCGACGAUCCGUAACUGGUCUGAGAGGAUGAUCAGUCACACUGGAACUGAGACACGGUCCAGACUCCUACGGGAGGCAGCAGUGGGGAAUAUUGGACAAUGGGCGAAAGCCUGAUCCAGCCAUGCCGCGUGUGUGAAGAAGGUCUUCGGAUUGUAAAGCACUUUUAGUUGGGAGGAAGGGCAGUAAGUUAAUACCUUGCUGUUUUGACGUUACCAAAAGAAUAAGCACCGGCUAACUUCGUG
rnacentral:rRNA from 1 species